CCUACGGGAGGCUGCAGUGAGGAAUAUUGGUCAAUGGACGCAAGUCUGAACCAGCCAUGCCGCGUGCAGGAAGACGGCUCUAUGAGUUGUAAACUGCUUUUAUACGAGGGUAAACUCAGAUACGCGUGUCUUUCUGAAAGUAUCUUACGAAUAAGGAUCGGCUAACUCCGUGCCAGCAGCCGCGGUAAUACGGAGGAUUCAAGCGUUAUCCGGAUUUAUUGGGUUUAACGGGUGCGUAGGAGGGUGGAUAAGUUAGAGGUGAAAGCCCGAGGCUCAACCUCGGAAUUGCAUCUGAUACUGGUAGGCUAGAGAGUAGUUGAGGUAGGCGGAAUUGAUGGUGUAGCGGUGAAAUGCUUAGAGAUCACACAGAACACCGAUUGCGAAGGCAGCUUACUAAGCUACGUCUGACGUUGAGGCACGAAAGCGUGGGGAGCAAACAGGAUUAGAUACCCUUGUAGUC
rnacentral:rRNA from 1 species